ACAUGCAAGUCGAGGGGCAGCAUAAUGGAUAGCAAUAUCUAUGGUGGCGACCGGCGCACGGGUGCGUAACGCGUAUGCAACCUACCUUUAACAGGGGGAUAACACUGAGAAAUUGGUACUAAUACCCCAUAAUAUCAUAGAAGGCAUCUUUUAUGGUUGAAAAUUCCGAUGGUUAGAGAUGGGCAUGCGUUGUAUUAGCUAGUUGGUGGGGUAACGGCUCACCAAGGCGACGAUACAUAGGGGGACUGAGAGGUUAACCCCCCACACUGGUACUGAGACACGGACCAGACUCCUACGGGAGGCAGCAGUGAGGAAUAUUGGUCAAUGGACGCAAGUCUGAACCAGCCAUGCCGCGUGCAGGAUGACGGCUCUAUGAGUUGUAAACUGCUUUUGUACGAGGGUAAACGCAGAUACGUGUAUCUGUCUGAAAGUAUCGUACGAAUAAGGAUCGGCUAACUCCGUGCCAGCAGCCGCGGUAAUACGGAGGAUUCAAGCGUUAUCCGGAUUUAUUGGGUUUAAAGGGUGCGUAGGCGGUUUGAUAAGUUAGAGGUGAAAUUUCGGGGCUCAACCCUGAACGUGCCUCUAAUACUGUUGAGCUAGAGAGUAGUUGCGGUAGGCGGAAUGUAUGGUGUAGCGGUGAAAUGCUUAGAGAUCAUACAGAACACCGAUUGCGAAGGCAGCUUACCAAACUAUAU
rnacentral:rRNA from 1 species